UAAAAGAUCCUUAAUUAGGUUGAGGAAAAUCAAAGUCACUGAUUUUUAAUCAUCCUGGGGUCACAGACUCCUUUGAGAUUCUAUCUUGUUUUGUUUUUGAGCUGGAGUGUCACUGUGUUGCCCAGGCUAACCUCAAACUGAAGCAAUUCUACUUCAGAACUUCUGGGAUUACAGGCAUGCUGCCAAGCCCGGCUGCUUUGAGACAGUUAACAAAAUCUAUGACCCUAUUCCUAGAAGAAAAGCACACCCACACAAUUUGCAUCCAAUUUUACAAGGUUCAUGGACACUCUGAAACCUAUCCCUGAAACCUAAACCUCACGUUAAGAAUCUCUGCAAGGCUAAGGGGCACUAGAUCUCCUCAGAUUCCUGGCAAAAAAAGACACCAGGAAGCUUAUCAGAGACUAGAAGUGAAGUAGUGUUAAUCAUAAUUCUGAAAGAAACUUUAGCUUAACCUACUCAAAAAGAGAAUAAGGAUUUUCAACAGGAUGCAAUGCUUGAUCACCUCGUGUUCUAGCAGACUCUAUGAAGAACUUCUCAGCUCUGUGACUUCUCAGAGUAUCUUACCACUAUGUUGUCCUUGUCACUGAUCUACCUGUAUCCCAAUUAGAUAAGCACCUAACCUGUGUUUAAUUUUUCUCUCUGUCUCAUAGAGUUCUCUGCCCAGUGCCUGGCAUUACUCGAUAAAAGUUUGUUGGAGAAGAAAUGAACUAGCUUAUCAAUUUAUCCAUGAUUACAUUCAGGCAUGUCAAGAUCCACAUGGAGGGCAGAGCAGGAAUUCUGAAGCAAAUGGAAAAAGCAGCUUCCAAGUUCAAGUGGAAGAAAUAACUAAUUUAGGAAACAGUGCUGGAGCACUCAGGCCUAUUUGCAGCUCAUGGCUUAUUUUUAGGGGAUUAAAAAUAUUUGCAAGUCAAAGCAGAAACUGCUCUUUUGCUGCCUUAUAGCUUUCUUCAGCUCUAAUGGAGUGUGCUCACUAAGAAGCAGAGAACAACACUUGAGUGAUGGCCUCAGGGGAUGUUAGAAAAACCUCCCGUUAUAUUUGAGCAAAACUCAAGAAAGUCUAUCAUGGCAAGAGUCUGCAAGGCUGUGGUCAUGGAAAAGAAAAAGAGUGUUGCAGAGCAAAAACUCUUACUUUUAUCAUCAUAAAACGUUCAAGUGGAUUUGAAAGCUUUAUUAAGAACUUCCCAUACCUCAUAAGUGAUCCCUUCACACAGAAUAAGCAACACAUCUCAGAAUUCUUAAAUAUUUACCCAGCAGUAGAGGGAAGUAAGAAGUGACAGUUGCAGGGGACAGGAGAAAAGCUACAAAGUGUUUAAAAAGUGAACAAAUAUGCAAUAACAAUCUGAACUAACAGAACAAAGAAUAAAGAAUUUUUUAAA